rnacentral:rRNA from 1 species
AGAGUUUGAUCAUGGCUCAGGAUGAACGCUGGCGGCGUGGAUAAGGCAUGCAAGUCGAGUGGGUUUAGACCCACGGCAGACGAGGUAGUAACACGUACGAACGCACCCCGAAGUCGGGCAUAUACCAUCGAAAGAUGGAGUAAUUCCCGAUGGUCUCGCAAGAGUAAAGAUUUAUCGCUUCGGGAGCGGCGUGCGUAAUAUCAGCUAGUUGGUAGGGUAAUGGCCUACCAAGGCUACGACGUUUAGGGGAGCUGAGAGGCUGACCCCCACCGAUGGGACUGAGACACGGCCCAUACUCCUACGGGAGGCCGCAGUCGAGAAUCUUCCGCAAUGGACGAAAGUCUGACGGAGCGACGCCGCGUGCUGGACGAAGUGCCUCGGCACGUAAACAGCUUUUAUGUGGGAUGAAAUUAUUGACAGUACCACAUGAAUAAGGGGCUCCUAACUCUGUGCCAGCAGGAGCGGUAAUACAGAGGCCCCAAGCGUUAUCCGGAAUCACUGGGCGUAAAGGGUGUCAAGGCGGUCGUGUUAGUCGUUUGUAAAAUCCUGGAGCUCAACUUCAGGCCCGCAAGCGAAACGGCACGACUCGAGGUUGGGAGAGGUGCGUGGAACUCACGGUGUAGGGGUGAAAUCCGUUGAUAUCGUGGGGAACACCAAAGGCGAAGGCAGCGCACUGGCCCAAAUCUGACGCUCACACACGAAAGCCAGGGUAGCGAACGGGAUUAGAUACCCUCGUAGUCC